rnacentral:rRNA from 1 species
CAGCCGCCACGGUAAUACGAAGGGGGCUAGCGUUGUUCGGAAUUAUUGGGCGUAAAGGGCGCGUAGGCGGCCAUUCAAGUUAGAUGUGAAAGCCCUGGGCUCAACCUAGGAAUUGCAUUUGAUACUGUUUGGCUUGAGUUCGGGAGAGGUGAGUGGAAUUCCCAGUGUAGAGGUGAAAUUCGUAGAUAUUGGGAAGAACACCAGUGGCGAAGGCGGCUCACUGGACCGACACUGACGCUGAGGCGCGAAAGCGUGGGGAGCAAACAGGAUUAGAUACCCCCGUAGUCCCUGUCUCUUAUAC